rnacentral:rRNA from 1 species
AUUGAACGCUGGCGGCAGGCCUAACACAUGCAAGUCGAGCGGAGCGGCGGACGGGUGAGUAAUGCCUAGGAAUCUGCCUGGUAGUGGGGGAUAACGUCCGGCAACGGGCGCUAAUACCGCAUACUAUCAGAUGAGCCUAGGUCGGGGUAGCUAGUUGGUGGGGUAAAGGCCUACCAAGGCGACGAUCCGUAAAUGGUCUGCGAGGAUGAGCAGUCACACGUGAACUGAGACACGGUCCAGACUCCAACGGGAGGCAGCAGUGGGGAAGAUUGGACAAUGGGCGAAAGCCUGAACCAGCCAUGCCGCGUGUGUGAAGAAGGUCUGCGGAUUGUAAAGCACUGUAAGUUGGGAGGCGUUACCAACAGAAGAAGCACCGGCUAACUUCGUGCCAGCAGCCGCGGUAAUAC